GGGGAUUUAGCUCAGUGGUUCUGGGGCCUGCCUUACAAGUGCAAGGACCCAAGUUCAAUCCCUGGUAUCCCCC
rnacentral:tRNA from 1 species